rnacentral:misc_RNA from 1 species
UUCCAAGCUUGAAAUAUGGAAGCAAACAAGGAACUGUCAAUAGAGUGCAAAAUGCUAAUAUCUCCUAUUGUUGACGUAUCAGUUAUUUCACUAGCAACUGGCACGUCUUAUUCUUUCUUUUCAUUGGUCUAAUGCGAUUUGUUCACCCAAGACAUUGGCGUAAACUGCACUUUCCUGAAAAUUAGUCAUUUGCUCAUCUAUAACUUUGUGAAUGGAUCAGCGUAUGUGUUAAGCUAUAUG